rnacentral:rRNA from 1 species
GAUGAACGCUGGCGGCGUGCCUAAUACAUGCAAGUCGAGCGAACGGACGAGAAGCUUGCUUCUCUGAUGUUAGCGGCGGACGGGUGAGUAACACGUGGAUAACCUACCUAUAAGACUGGGAUAACUUCGGGAAACCGGAGCUAAUACCGGAUAAUAUUUUGAACCGCAUGGCUCAAAAGUGAAAGACGGUCUUGCUGUCACUUAUAGAUGGAUCCGCGCUGCAUUAGCUAGUUGGUAAGGUAACGGCUUACCAAGGCAACGAUGCAUAGCCGACCUGAGAGGGUGAUCGGCCACACUGGAACUGAGACACGGUCCAGACUCCUACGGGAGGCAGCAGUAGGGAAUCUUCCGCAAUGGGCGAAAGCCUGACGGAGCAACGCCGCGUGAGUGAUGAAGGUCUUCGGAUCGUAAAACUCUGUUAUUAGGGAAGAACAUAUGUGUAAGUAACUGUGCACAUCUUGACGGUACCUAAUCAGAAAGCCACGGCUAACUACGU